CCACAGGAAACGGUGGCUAAUACCGGAUGUGCCGGAAGGUGAAAGGCUUGCUGCCUGAAGAUGAGCUCGCGUCCGAUUAGCUAGUAGGUGGGGUAAGAGCCUACCUAGGCGACGAUCGGUAGCUGGUCUGAGAGGAUGACCAGCCACACUGGGACUGAGACACGGCCCAGACUCCUACGGGAGGCAGCAGUGGGGAAUUUUCCGCAAAGGGCGAAAACCUGACGGAGCAAUUCCGCGUGAGGGAGGAAGGCUCUUGGGUUGUAAACCUCUUUUCUCAGGGAAGAACACAAUGACGGUACCUGAGGAAUCAGCAUCGGCUAACUCCGUGCCAGCAGCCGCGGUAAUACGGAGGAUGCAAGCGUUAUCCGGAAUGAUUGGGCGUAAAGCGUCCGCAGGUGGCUGUGUAAGUCUGCUGUCAAAGAGCAAAGCUCAACUUUGUAAAGGCAGUGGAAACUACACGGCUAGAGUGCGUUCGGGGCAGAGGGAAUUCCUGGUGUAGCGGUGAAAUGCGUAGAGAUCAGGAAGA
rnacentral:rRNA from 1 species